CAGCAGCCGCGGUAAUACGAAGGGUGCAAGCGUUAAUCGGAAUUAUUGGGCGUAAAGGGCUCGUAGGCGGUUUGUCACGUCGGGAGUGAAAACUCAGGGCUCAACCCUGAGCGUGCUUCCGAUACGGGCAGACUAGAGGUAUUCAGGGGAGAACGGAAUUCCUGGUGUAGCGGUGGAAUGCGCAGAUAUCAGGAGGAACACCGAUGGCGAAGGCGGUUCUCUGGGAAUUACCUGACGCUGAGGAGCGAAAGCAUGGGGAGCGAACAGGAUUAGAUACCCCAGUAGUCCCUGUCUCUUAUAC
rnacentral:rRNA from 1 species